rnacentral:rRNA from 1 species
GACGAACGCUGGCGGCGUGCUUAACACAUGCAAGUCGAACGAAGAGCGAUGGAAGCUUGCUUCUAUCAAUCUUAGUGGCGAACGGGUGAGUAACGCGUAAUCAACCUGCCCUUCAGAGGGGGACAACAGUUGGAAACGACUGCUAAUACCGCAUACGAUCUGACCUCGGCAUCGAGGAUAGAUGAAAGGUGGCCUCUAUUUAUAAGCUAUCACCGAAGGAGGGGAUUGCGUCUGAUUAGCUAGUUGGAGGGGUAACGGCCCACCAAGGCGAUGAUCAGUAGCCGGUCUGAGAGGAUGAACGGCCACAUUGGGACUGAGACACGGCCCAGACUCCUACGGGAGGCAGCAGUGGGGAAUCUUCCGCAAUGGACGAAAGUCUGACGGAGCAACGCCGCGUGAGUGAUGACGGCCUUCGGGUUGUAAAGCUCUGUUAAUCGGGACGAAAGGCCUUCUUGCGAAUAGUUAGAAGG